rnacentral:rRNA from 1 species
UACGUAGGGGGCAAGCGUUGUUCGGAAUUACUGGGCGUAAAGGGCGCGUAGGCGGCACGGCAAGUCGGGAGUGAAGGCCCGGGGCUCAACCCCGGAACGUCUUUCGAAACUGCCGAGCUAGAGUGCGGAAGGGGCAACUGGAAUUCCCAGUGUAGCGGUGAAAUGCGUAGAUAUUGGGAAGAACACCUGGAGGCGAAGGCGGGUUGCUGGGCCGACACUGACGCUGAGGCGGCGAAAAGCGUGGGGAGCAAACAGGG